UACAGAGGUCCCAAGCGUUGUUCGGAUUCACUGGGCGUAAAGGGUGCGUAGGUGGUUGGGUAAGUCUGAUGUGAAAUCUCCGGGCUCAACCCGGAAAUGGCAUUGGAUACUAUUUGCCUUGAAUAUUGUGGAGGUGAGCGGAAUAUGUCAUGUAGCGGUGAAAUGCUUAGAUAUGACAUAGAACACCAAUUGCGAAGGCAGCUCACUACACAAUCAUUGACGCUGAGGCACGAAAGCGUGGGGAUCAAACAGG
rnacentral:rRNA from 1 species